rnacentral:rRNA from 1 species
UACAGAGGGGGCAAACGUUGCUCGGAAUCAUUGGGCGUAAAGCGCACGUAGGCGGUCUGUUAUGUCGGAUGUGAAAGCCCCGGGCUCAACCCGGGAAGUGCACUCGAUACUGCGUGGCUUGAGUACUGGAGAGGUUGGUGGAAUUCUCGGUGUAGAGGUGAAAUUCGUAGAUAUCGAGAGGAACACCGGUGGCGAAGGCGGCCAACUGGACAGAUACUGACGCUGAGACACGAAAGCGUGGGUAGCAAACAGG